rnacentral:misc_RNA from 1 species
AAGUCGUAACAAGGUUUCCGUAGGUGAACCUGCGGAAGGAUCAUUAAAACAAUACGCCACUGGUGAAAGUGAGGUAAAACCACCGAAUCCAGUGCUGUAUACAACCACCUGUUUACCUUUACCUGUUGCUUCCGUGGAAUUACGGGUGCUCUUCCUGUUCGCAGGCUUGAGUUACCUUCCACGGGUGUAUUUUAAAAACUCGUUUUGUAUUAUUUGUCUGAUUUAAAAUUUUAAUAAAAGUUAAAACUUUCAACAACGGAUCUCUAGGUUCUC